rnacentral:lncRNA from 10 species
UUUCCAUUUCACGUCCAGAUUGUUUACUUAUCUGCGGGAAACAUAUGUCGGGAGAAGUUCACAUUCCGGAUUCUGCUCCGCUGCCCAAGGUGCAAUUCCGGGGAGGCGGCGAGGGGGGAGGGGAGGGCUUCAGAUUUUUUAUUACACCCUCUAGCCUUAUCUGCCGCUGUAAAUUAUGAGGAUCCUCCAUUGAGCGGCAUAUGGAGAUUAUAUACUUUUUUGAAUAUCGUUUCCCAAAGCCUGCAGAUUUUCACUUUGAAAUGAAACAAUCCUCCGCUGGUUCCCCCGGGGACAGGCGUCUCCUGCGUUCCCCCGCGCGGCCUGGGGGACCCUUCUCGCAGAGCAGGCGCGCACCCCAAUGCCGUGGCCGGCGCCCAGUGGAGACUUCUUUCACAGGGUCUAGAAUAAUCUUCCGCGGAACACCCAUCCAUAUGCAGUGUUUGAGAACUAAGGCAGCUCCCUUGCUCUGUUUUCCUGCGCCUAGCCCCCGGACUUUUGUGCCGUUUGCAGCUCUUUUUCAUUUCGAAUACCCGCAUAGACGCGAGCCCACUUCUGCCCUCUUCCUACGCUGGGCGGCUCCAAACCCGCCGCGAGGGCUGAGGUGUUCACACCUGCCCACGGCAGCCUGCCUCGCCCUCAAGCGCCUCAAAGCUUCCUAAGCGCUUACAUUGGUCUUGGGACAGCCGACUUUGGCUUCUUUGUUUGUUUGAGGGACCGCGGAAGUGGCGGGGAAUGUGCCCCCGCUUGAGACCGCUUAUUGUGAGCCCUCAACGGAAAUCCUGCACGGAAGGCAACCGCCUCCCCGCUCGCGUUAGAAGGCUUCAUUUGCUCUGAGUUAUCAUUGAGAACUAAAUGGAGAAGAAAAGAACUGAAGGCCUGAAGAUAUGUCAUCUGUAGAAAAGGUGGCCUCUUCUCAAGCUUUCUUGGCAAAUCAAGAGCUUCUGCCUUUUGGAGGACAUCCUCUUGACCUCCCACCCAUAUCAGCUCUUAGAGGACAUUCCACAGGAACAUUGCCUUCUUGUCCUCCAGUAUUUUUUAUGGAAACAGAAAUUAGGUUAUCUUCCUUAUGCUCUAGAUGGACAUCUGAAAUCAUCAAACCCUUGAGAGAAACAGCCCUCAUUCUUUUAUGAGACAACCUGGAAGAAAAC